rnacentral:rRNA from 1 species
AUGUACAUUCCUACAACAUAGCGUUAAUGCACUAGAUCCCAUUAAAACUCCACAGUUAAGUGCGCUCAAGCCAGAGUAGUACUAGGAUGGGUGACCACCCGGGAAGUCCUACUAUUUUACAUG